rnacentral:rRNA from 1 species
CCUACGGGAGGCAGCAGUGGGGAAUAUUGGACAAUGGGCGCAAGCCUGAUCCAGCCAUGCCGCGUGAGUGAUGAAGGCCUUAGGGUUGUAAAGCUCUUUUGUCCGGGACGAUAAUGACGGUACCGGAAGAAUAAGCCCCGGCUAACUUCGUGCCAGCAGCCGCGGUAAUACGAAGGGGGCUAGCGUUGCUCGGAAUCACUGGGCGUAAAGGGCGCGUAGGCGGCCGAUUAAGUCGGGGGUGAAAGCCUGUGGCUCAACCACAGAAUUGCCUUCGAUACUGGUUGGCUUGAGACCGGAAGAGGACAGCGGAACUGCGAGUGUAGAGGUGAAAUUCGUAGAUAUUCGCAAGAACACCAGUGGCGAAGGCGGCUGUCUGGUCCGGUUCUGACGCUGAGGCGCGAAAGCGUGGGGAGCAAACAGGAUUAGAUAUCCCGGUAGUCCACGCCGUAAACGAUGAAUGCCAGCGUCGGUCGUCGCUGCAGGUCGAGUGGCGCCGCUACGCAUAAGCAUCCGUCCGUCGGGAGGUACGGUCGCGAGAUUAAACUACAAGAAGUAGACGGCGUGAGACGUGCCGACGGACGACGACGAGGGAGGUAGG